rnacentral:rRNA from 1 species
CAGCAGCCGCGGUAAUACGUAGGUGGCGAGCGUUGUCCGGAUUUACUGGGCGUAAAAAGCGCGCAGGCGGCUGGUCAAGUCCGAUGUGAAAUCUCCCGGCUUAACUGGGAAACUGCAUCGGAAACUGAUCGGCUUGAAGGUGGGAGAGGGUAGCGGAAUUCCCGGUGUAGUGGUGAAAUGCGUAGAUAUCGGGAGGAACACCAGUGGCGAAGGCGGCUACCUGGCCCACUCUUGACGCUGAGGCGCGAAAGCUAGGGGAGCGAACGGGAUUAGAUACCCCGGUAGUCCUAGCCGUAAACGAUGAACACUAGGCGUUGUCGGUAUCGACCCCGGCACGCAUUAAGUGUUCCGCCUGGGGAGUACGGCCGCAAGGCUAAAACUCAAAGGAAUUGACGG